rnacentral:rRNA from 1 species
GAUCCUGGCUCAGGAUGAACGCUAGCUACAGGCUUAACACAUGCAAGUCGAGGGGAAACGACAUCGAAAGCUUGCUUCCGAUGGGCGUCGACCGGCGCACGGGUAGGGUAACGCGUAUCCAACCUGCCCAUCACUUGGGAAUAACCUUGCGAAAGUAAGACUAAUGCCCAAUGACAUCCCACGAAGGCAUCCGAAUGGGAUUAAAGAUUUAUCGGUGAUGGAUGGGGAUGCGUCUGAUUAG